rnacentral:rRNA from 1 species
GAUGAACGCUAGCGGCAGGCCUAACACAUGCAAGUCGAGGGGUAGAAGGAGCUUUCUUCUUUGAGACCGGCGCACGGGUGCGUAACGCGUAUGCAAUCUACCUUGUACAGGGGAAUAGCCCAGAGAAAUUUGGAUUAAUGCCCCAUAGUAUAUAACCUUCGCAUGUUGGUUAUAUUAAAGUUCCAACGGUACAAGAUGAGCAUGCGUCCCAUUGGUUAGUUGGUAAGGUAACGGCUUACCAAGACGAUGAUGGGUAGGGGUACUGAGAGGGAGAUCCCCCACACUGGUACAGGGACACGGACCAGGCUCCUGAGAGAGGCAGCAGUCUGGUACAUUAGGCAGUAGUCGCGAGUCUGGCCCAGCCAUGCCGCGUGCAAGAAGACCAUCCUGUGGAUUGUAAGCUGCUUUUAUGCAGGAAGAAUCCCUCCCACGUGUGGGAGCUUGACGGUACUGGAGGAAUAAGCAUCGGCUAACUCCGUG